rnacentral:tRNA from 1 species
GGGUAUAUAGCUCAGUGGUAGAGCAUGUGCUUAGCAUGCAUGAGGUCCUGGGUUCAAUCCCCAGUAACUCCU